UUAGCUUUGCAGAGAAUUAUUGACGUGCUUAAAUUUAUCCAUUACAAGUGUCUAGUGAUUUCAGCAGGACUGUAUGAUUUAAUUAAAUUAAAUGUAUGAACACCUUUGUAGGAGCAGGGAGAGGAAACGAAGUUGGAUAUCUGGUUUUGUGCCUGGUUAUAUUUGCUGGUGCUUUGUCAGUGAGAGGGUAUUAACUGCGUAUUUUUGUGUUACUUCUGACGGUAUUUGGUUGUAAAGGCCACAGACAGGGAGGAGUUUGGGCGAAAGUGGAGAAGAGAAUCACUUCUGAUGCAAAACAAGAACUGUUCAGUAGAAUACAAUAGUAAUGUAUCAAAAUGAAGACCUGCUCUCCAGUGCCAUUGUCUCAUCUCCCGGGUGUCCUUUUCUGCGUUGGCUCUGGUGCCCUUAAUCUGAAGAGGACAGUGACAAGUGACUGAAGGGUCCCCACGGACGGAUGACAAACCACGUUGUGCUACAUUAACAAACCAUACACGAGCCUGGAGAA